rnacentral:rRNA from 1 species
GACGAACGCUGGCGGCGUGCUUAACACAUGCAAGUCGAACGGAAAGGCCCUGCUUUUGUGGGGUGCUCGAGUGGCGAACGGGUGAGUAACACGUGAGUAACCUGCCCUUGACUUUGGGAUAACUUCAGGAAACUGGGGCUAAUACCGGAUAGGAGCUCCUGCUGCAUGGUGGGGGUUGGAAAGUUUCGGCGGUUGUGGAUGGACUCGCGGCUUAUCAGCUUGUUGGUGGGGUAGUGGCUUACCAAGGCUUUGACGGGUAGCCGGCCUGAGAGGGUGACCGGCCACCUUGGGACUGAGAUACGGCCCAGACUCCUACGGGAGGCAGCAGUGGGAAAUAUUGCACAAUGAGCGGACGCCUGAUGCAGCAACGCCGCGUGCGGGAUGCCCGCCUACGGGUUGUAAACCGCUUUCGCCUGUGACGAAGCGUGAGUGACGGUAAUGGGUAAAGAAGCACCGGCUAACUACGUG